rnacentral:rRNA from 1 species
AAUAUUGGACAAUGGGGGCAACCCUGAUCCAGCCAUGCCGCGUGUGUGAAGAAGGUCUUCGGAUUGUAAAGAACUUUAAGUUGGGAGGAAGGGCUUUAGGUUAAUACCCUGAAGUUUUGACGUUACCAACAGAAUAAGCAACGGCUAACUCUGUGCCAGCAGCAGCGGUAAUACAGAGGGUGCAAGCUCUAAUCGGAAUUACUGGGCGUAAAGCGCGCGUAGGUGGUUCAGUAAGAUGGGUGUGAAAUCCCCGGGCUUAACCUGGGAACUGCUUUCAUAACUGCUGAGCUAGAGUACGGUAGAGGGUAGUGUAAUUUCCUGUGUAGCGGUGAAAUGCGUAGAUAUAGGAGGGAACACUAGUGGCGAAGGCGACUACCUGGACUGAUACUGACACUGAGGUGCGGAAGCGUGGGGAGCAAAC